CUGAUUUUCCCUCUUCAUUGCUUCAGUGUCGUGUGCGAGCCUCAGCUGACCGUAUUCACUGGAGCUGUUUCAUAUGAACAAUUAAAGCUCCAUGUGGAGAAGUUUGGAAGGGAUCUACCUAUUUGGAAUUCCAGCGUUUUGCAAAUUUUUCAACACAGCAACUAUUUCAGGAUGAUACAAAAGUAUAAAAAAAAAAGGCUUUGUCAAUGUCAUGCCAAAUAGAACUGUGAAAAAACACCAACACGUGAACCUGCCACAUCAAAAUUGGUAAUAAAUAAUGAAGAAGUGUUUGAGUCUCACCGUGUACUGCCCGAAGCUGUUUCUCUGUCUGAAGAGGAGGAAGCACACGAUGGCAGAGAUGACUGUUUGGGCCAAUGUGAAGAGAAGGAGGGAUGACUUCAUUCCUCUGCUCAGCUUCUGUUGUGAAGGACAUACAGAACUCAAACUAACUUUGGUCGUCGGGACCACACAAGAGCUCACCAUCAGCUCACACACGCCACAAGACACACGUUUAAGCUGUGAGCCGGUGACGUUUGGAUGUAAUGAAGGGGACACCAACCAUGGCGUAGUGUUUCUCACUGCAGCUGUCUUGGACCGUUUUGACACAGGGCACCUCAGGGUUCUUGUCCAUGUCGAUGGAGUAGAUGAUCACAGCCACCACCGACAGCACAGUGGACACCACGCUCACCAUCAGACACAGAUGCAGCUGAUGAAGACAAACACACGAGAUCAGAAUCCUGUCUGGACACUGGUUCACUCUUUUAUGAUAAAUCAGUGGCCAGCGUCAGAACAGAGAUUGCAACCGACCUGAUAAAAGGGAGUCUUUCCUUGCUACUGUAGCCAAGUGUUUGCCCACGUGGGGGAUUGUUGGGUCUUUAUAUGAAUACACUUGACUUGACUUGACCUGUCAAUCAGUUCCCACCCUGAAAUAUUUACCCCGUAUAAUUCACUGUAAAUUCGAAAAUAAAAUGAUGGGACGCUUUAGACACACGAGACACUGAUCAGUGGAUAAUUAGUUCUCAUUUUGUGUUUGAUCGCACUGAUGGAAAAUUCCAAUCAUAGUUAUUAUGUUACAUAGAGAGGAGAUUGUGUGAAUCUUGAGGGAGCAUGAUGUUUGUGCUCCUGAAACCAAAUCCACCUUCAUAAGUUGGAUGCUGCCUAUUUCAUGUAUUUAUCCAGCUCCUACAAUACGUCACUAGAAGUUGGAAAUGAUACAAUAUAUUGUCAGUUCUGUUUUGUAACAAAAUAAAGUUUAUUGAUUCAGA